rnacentral:rRNA from 1 species
GACGAACGCUGGCGGCGUGCCUAAUACAUGCAAGUAGAACGCAGUUGCGAACGGGUGAGUAACGCGUAGGUAACUGCCUCAUAGCGGGGGAUAACUAUUGGAAACGAUAGCUAAUACCGCAUACUGUGAGAUGGACCUGCGUUGUAUUAGCUAGUUGGUGAGGUAAAGGCUCACCAAGGCGACGAUACAUAGCCGACCUGGGAGGGUUGUUGGCCAACAUGGGACCGAGACACGGCCCAGGACCCUACGGGAGGCAGCCGUUGGGAAUCCUCGGCCAUUGACGGAAGUCCUGACGAGCAAAGCCGCGUUAGUGAAGAAAGUUUUCGGAUCGUAAAGCGCUUGUUUUAGAGAAGCGGUAACUAACCAGAAAGGGACGGCUAACUAACUGCCAGCAGCCCCGGUAAUAC